rnacentral:rRNA from 1 species
AUUAAACGCUGGCGGCAGGCCUAACACAUGCAAGUCGAGCGGAUGAGAAGAGCUUGCUCUUCGAUUCAGCGGCGGACGGGUGAGUAAUGCCUAGGAAUCUGCCUGAUAGUGGGGGACAACGUCUCGAAAGGGACGCUAAUACCGCAUACGUCCUACGGGAGAAAGCAGGGGACCUUCGGGCCUUGCGCUAUCAGAUGAGCCUAGGUCGGAUUAGCUUGUUGGUGAGGUAAUGGCUCACCAAGGCGACGAUCCGUAACUGGUCUGAGAGGAUGAUCAGUCACACUGGAACUGAGACACGGUCCAGACUCCUACGGGAGGCAGCAGUGGGGAAUAUUGGACAAUGGGCGAAAGCCUGAUCCAGCCAUGCCGCGUGUGCGAAGAAGGUCUUCGGAUUGUAAAGCACUUUAAGUUGGGAGGAAGGGCAGUCAGCGAAUACCUGGUUGUUUUGACGUUACCGACAGAAUAAGCACCGGCUAACUCUGUGCCAGCCGCCGCAGUAACAC